UACGUAGGGUGCAAGCGUUUGUCCGGAAUCAUUGGGCGUAAAGCGCGUGUAGGCGGUUCGGUAAGUCUGCUGUGAAAGUCCAGGGCUCAACCCUGGGAUGCCGGUGGAUACUGUCGGGCUAGAGUACGGAAGAGGCGAGUGGAAUUCCUGGUGUAGCGGUGGAAUGCGCAGAUAUCAGGAGGAACACCAAUAGCGAAGGCAGCUCGCUGGGACGUUACUGACACUGAGGCGCGAAAGCGUGGGGGAGCGAA
rnacentral:rRNA from 1 species